ACGUUCUGUCGGUUCCUCCUCGGUUCCCUCAUGUUGACGUUCUGUCGGUUACUCCUCGGUUCCCUCAUGUUGACGUUCUGUCAGUCCCCUCAUGUUGACGUUCUGUCAGGUUUCUCCUCAGUUCCCUCAUGUUGACGUUCUGUCAGUUCCCUCAUGUUGACGUUCUGUCAGGUUUCUCCUCAGUUCCCUCAUGUUGACGUUCUGUCAGGUUCCUUCAUGUUGACGUUCUAUCAGGUUUCUCCUCAGUUCCUUCAUGUUGACAUUCUGUCAGGUUUCUCCUCAGUUCCCUCAUGUUGAUGUUCUGUCAGUUUCCCUCAUGUUGACGUUCUGUCGGUUACUCUUCGGUUCCCUCAUGUUGACGUUCUGUCAGGUUUCUCCUCAGUUCCCUCAUGUUGACGUUCUGUCAGGUUCCUUCAUGUUGACGUUCUAUCAGGUUUCUCCUCAGUUCCCUCAUGUUGACGUUCUGUCAGGUUCCUUCAUGUUGACGUUCUAUCAGGUUUCUCCUCAGUUCCCUCAUGUUGACGUUCUGUCAGGUUCCUUCAUGUUGACGUUCUAUCAGGUUUCUCCUCAGUUCCCUCAUGUUGAUGUUCUGUCAGGUUCCUUCAUGUUGACGUUCAGUCAGGUUCCUCCUGGGUUCUCCUGCAGCUCCUCUGAAAGCUUCCUUGUGUUCCUGCUGGCAGCCUGGGUUCCAUGUGA
ensembl:lncRNA